rnacentral:misc_RNA from 1 species
CACGUUGCUGCGGCGGUGGUAGAUGGCGGCUCUGCGCCGGAUCGGACGUUCAACUUGAUCGAACUGGCGUCCCCACUGCGCGAUGGAGUCGCCGGGGCGCACAAAGACAUGCAUCCCCUCGACCGGGCCCGGCAACGAAUUGCCACCGCACACCGAACACGGUUCGACACAGCCCGGUUCGUGCCCGGAGAAGAAGUCCUCGACCCCAUCGGCCUCCCCCUGCAGGU